rnacentral:rRNA from 1 species
GCCCUUAGAGUUUGAUCCUGGCUCAGAUUGAACGCUGGCGGCAUGCCUUACACAUGCAAGUCGAACGGUAACAGGUCUUCGGAUGCUGACGAGUGGCGAACGGGUGAGUAAUACAUCGGAACGUGCCCGAUCGUGGGGGAUAACGAGGCGAAAGCUUUGCUAAUACCGCAUACGAUCUACGGAUGAAAGCGGGGGAUCUUCGGACCUCGCGCGGACGGAGCGGCCGAUGGCAGAUUAGGUAGUUGGUGGGAUAAAAGCUUACCAAGCCGACGAUCUGUAGCUGGUCUGAGAGGAUGAUCAGCCACACUGGGACUGAGACACGGCCCAGACUCCUACGGGAGGCAGCAGUGGGGAAUUUUGGACAAUGGGCGAAAGCCUGAUCCAGCCAUGCCGCGUGCAGGAUGAAGGCCUUCGGGUUGUAAACUGCUUUUGUACGGAACGAAAAGCCUCUUUCUAAUAAAGAGGGGUCAUGACGGUACCGUAAGAAUAAGCACCGGCUAACUACGUGCCAGCAGCCGCGGUAAUACGUAGGGUGCAAGCGUUAAUCGGAAUUACUGGGCGUAAAGCGUGCGCAGGCGGUUUUGUAAGAC